AGCUGUGAAUUUACAGUCAAAUUUUACGAAAAGUUUUUGGAAACUGUAUUGAAACUAAAUUAGAAAUUUGGAUGAAUACAUUUCGAUCACUAAAUUUUUAAGUACCACAUACCAAUAUUCGUUCGAACGUGGGAUUGGCCAAACCAAUAAGGAAGCAAAUUAUAGGCUUAAGCAAACGCUGGAAAUCUGGUGCAAGGCUGUUGAAGGCAAAGAGAAUUGCUUUACAUAUAAUUUAAUGACGUUUAAUUCUGUAUUUCCCAUAAGUUUUACAUAAGAUACCAGUUAAAAUACUGUAAA